GAUGAACGCUAGCGGCAGGCUUAAUACAUGCAAGUCGAGGGGCAGCACAGAUAGCAAUAUUUGGUGGCGACCGGCAAACGGGUGCGGAACACGUACGCAACCUUCCCAAAAUUGGUGAAUAGCCUUCCGAAAGGAAGAUUAAUACACCGUAAUAUAAUGAUGUGGCAUCACAUUAUUAUUAUAGCUCCGGCGAUUUUGGAUGGGCGUGCGCCUGAUUAGGUAGUUGGCGGGGUAACGGCCCACCAAGCCUCCGAUCAGUAACUGGUGUGAGAGCACGACCAGUCACACGGGCACUGAGACACGGGCCCGACUCCUACGGGAGGCAGCAGUAAGGAAUAUUGGUCAAUGGACGCAAGUCUGAACCAGCCAUGCCGCGUGCAGGAUGAAGGCCCUCUGGGUUGUAAACUGCUUUUAUCUGGGACGAAAACGGUACUUUUUAGUUCACUUGACGGUACCAGAGGAAUAAGCACCGGCUAACUCCGUGCCAGCCGCCGCCGUAAG
rnacentral:rRNA from 1 species